ensembl:miRNA Mir7660 microRNA 7660
UUUGCCCUGGCUUCAGAUCUCGGCAGUCAUCACUAGAUCUGUAAGUGAUGGGCAAAGUA